AAUCUGUAGUUCUUUACAAGAAGUGUUCAUGUCUCCCCAGUGGCCUCAUUACAAAUAAAAUAUUGAAAUUUCUGCCAAUUCAUUGUCAAAAUUCACUUACACGAACGGUCAAUAGCUUCAACAACAAAUCAUACUGGGGGGGACUACCAAAGAACUCACUUGGAAAAUGAUCCCAAUCUUUAAACCAGCUUGCCAUCUAUACCAGCACAUAUCUCAAGCAGGAGAACAUGCAACUGGACACCGCAUGUCACACUAUUUGACCAAUCUCAGCACAUCACCCACAAGAUGUAAUGAGCCAGUAAC
rnacentral:misc_RNA from 1 species